rnacentral:rRNA from 1 species
AACCUACGGGGGGCAGCAGUGGGGGAUAUUGCACAAUGGGGGAAACCCUGAUGCAGCGACGCCGCGUGGGUGAAGAAGCGCCUCGGCGCGUAAAGCCCUGUCAGCAGGGAAGAAAAUGACGGUACCUGAGUAAGAAGCACCGGCUAAAUACGUGCCAGCAGCCGCGGUAAUACGUAUGGUGCAAGCGUUAUCCGGAUUUACUGGGUGUAAAGGGAGCGCAGGCGGUGCGGCAAGUCUGAUGUGAAAGCCCGGGGCUCAACCCCGGGACUGCAUUGGAAACUACCGAACU